rnacentral:rRNA from 1 species
UACGUAGGGGGCUAGCGUUGUCCGGAAUUAUUGGGCGUAAAGAGCUUGUAGGCGGUCUGUCGCGUCUGCUGUGAAAAUCCGGGGCUCAACCCCGGACUUGCAGUGGGUACGGGCAGACUAGAGUGUGGUAGGGGAGACUGGAAUUCCUGGUGUAGCGGUGUAAUGCGCAGAUAUCAGGAGGAACACCGAUGGCGAAGGCAGGUCUCUGGGCCACUACUGACGCUGAGAAGCGAAAGCAUGGGGAGCGAACAGG